rnacentral:snRNA from 1 species
AAAAGUUGAGAUUCCAACUAGUAU